rnacentral:tRNA from 1 species
UAGAGCAUCUGACUUUUAAUCAGAGGGUCGAAGGUUCGAGUCCUUCAUGGCUCACCA